UUCCUGGUGGUUCAGUGGUUAGGACCCUGAGCUUUCACUGCUGAGGGCCAAGGUUCAAUCCCUGGUCAGGGAA
rnacentral:tRNA from 1 species